rnacentral:rRNA from 1 species
AGUCGAACGAUGACGGUGGUGCUUGCACCGCCUGAUUAGUGGCGAACGGGUGAGUAACACGUGAGUAACCUGCCCUCCACUUCGGGAUAACCUCGGGAAAUCGUGGCUAAUACCGGAUAUGAGCACUCAUCGCAUGGUGGGUGUUGGAAAGAUUUAUCGGUGGGGGAUGGACUCGCGGCCUAUCAGUUUGUUGGUGAGGUGAUGGCUCACCAAGACGAUGACGGGUAGCCGGCCUGAGAGGGCGACCGGCCACACUGGGACUGAGACACGGCCCAGACUCCUACGGGAGGCAGCAGUGGGGAAUAUUGCACAAUGGGCGAAAGCCUGAUGCAGCGACGCCGCGUGGGGGAUGACGGCCUUCGGGUUGUAAACCCCUUUCAGUAGGGAAGAAGCGAGAGUGACGGUACCUGCAGAAGAAGCGCCGGCUAACUACGUGCCAGCAGCCGCGGUAAUACGUAGGGCGCAAGCGUUGUCCGGAAUUAUUGGGCGUAAAGAGCUUGUAGGUGGCUUGUCGCGUCUGCCGUGAAAACCCGAGGCUCAACCUCGGGCGUGCGGUGGGUACGGGCAGGCUAGAGUGUGGUAGGGGAGACUGGAACUCCUGGUGUAGCGGUGAAAUGCGCAGAUAUCAGGAAGAACACCGAUGGCGAAGGCAGGUCUCUGGGCCAUUACUGACACUGAGAAGCGAAAGCAUGGGUAGCGAACAGGAUUAGAUACCCUGGUAGUCCAUGCCGUAAACGUUGGGCACUAGGUGUGGGGGACAUUCCACGUUUUCCGCGCCGUAGCUAACGCAUUAAGUGCCCCGCCUGGGGAGUACGGCCGCAAGGCUAAAACUCAAAGGAAUUGACGGGGGCCCGCACAAGCGGCGGAGCAUGCUGAUUAAUUCGAUGCAACGCGAAGAACCUUACCAAGGCUUGACAUGCACUGGACGGCUGCAGAGAUGUGGCUUUCUUUGGACUGGUGCACAGGUGGUGCAUGGUUGUCGUCAGCUCGUGUCGUGAGAUGUUGGGUUAAGUCCCGCAACGAGCGCAACCCUCGUUCUAUGUUGCCAGCACGUGAUGGUGGGGACUCAUAGGAGACUGCCGGGGUCAACUCCGAAGGAAGGUUGGGGACGACGUCAAAUCAUCAUGCCCCUUAUGUCUUGGGCUUCAAGCAUGCUACAAUGGUCGGUACAAUGGGUUGCGAAACUGUGAGGUGGACCGAAUCCCAAAAAGCCGGCCUCA